rnacentral:lncRNA from 1 species
AUAUUUGAUAGUUUAAUUGCUUUAAAAGGGGAAGGUAAAGAUACAAAUUUAUUACUUACAGCCUGGGUAAUCAGAGGUUAUUUAAACAUGAAAUGCAUGUCACAUUUAAACAUGAAUGCUGCAUAGAAAAGCUGUUGUUAAGCCAGCCAUUCAGAAAUGGAGCGGGAUUGUUCAUUAAGAGAAACACUCGGAUGUCUGCUGGCUGGAAUUUGCCAGCUCCCACCCCAUUAGCACGCUGUGAUCACUUAGGGACUCCACCUAAGGCUUUUGUUCAUCGUGCAGGCGGUGAGACUUCUUUUCUGCAGGGAUGAAAGGAAGCAGAAGGGAAAUGUGGCAGGUACGAGCGCGGCUGAGGGGCUUUGCUGCUCAGUGCGCUUUGUGGCCUCAUUAGAGGGAAAUCUGUGUGCUUUUCAUGAGGAGGCAGACAGGAUGAGGGAAGAGGAGCACGGGAAGGGAUAUCUGGUAGCUCUUUCGCUAGCAGAAUUAGAUGCUGACCCGAGGUGCACUGGCAGAGCUGUACUUCCAGAGCCAGGCAGUACAAAUGGCAGGACCCUUAGACGGCUUUAGAUUUCUCUACAGCACUGCAGUUUUAAGGAGCUGGUAACUUGCUAAUGAAGAGCUGGGUUACUAAGAAACCCCACGUCCCAAUCAGCAGGUGAAGGCUGCUCAGCUGUGCCGGCCACACUCGCUUGCAGCAGGACCUUGCUGAUUCACACUGAUAAUGAUGCAAACCAUUGCAAGUGACUGGCCUCAGAAUCCAUAAACCAGGGACUGAAGCACUCAUAGCUCUGCACACAGCCUGUUUGCUGGUUUGGUGCGUCACACUUAAUUUCCUUUUAAUUGUUUUUUCAUAAUGCAUUGCAUUGAAGUAGAACUGUGUUAAAAAAUGCAAUAAACCUCAUUUCAGGGUCAGCCCUAAUUUCCUAUAGAAAGAGCCGAGAGCGAUGUUUUUACAUCAGUUUUAAAGAGCACAGAGUUCAGAGAGUUUAAAGAGCAGUUCAGUGAGAACCAGCCGCACAAUAACUGCUCCUAUCUCAUCAAGUAUCUAAACGUUGCCAAAUUCCAGUGCUGAAAUAACAGAGGAUAUCUCUGGAGGACACUUGGGAUAGGACAUGGCUGCAGCAUCCCAACGUGGAGCAAGUACUGCUCAGAUCUGCUUCCCGAUGGUGCCUCCAGGUAACGGCACACCUUUCAUACUUGCAGCUACAGAAGAAGGGGUUUGUAAACCCCAGGCUUCAAACCAGUCAUCUUCCGAAGAGAACACACUGCGGGGCUGGUCGUAGUUCUGUUGGAAGCACAGGCUUCCCUUCUGUGACUGACCCACCAACGCGUACAAAGGAAACGCCAGCCUACCUGCGCAAGCACCUGCUGGGCCACCCGCCACCGGCACCCGCGCCGGGAGCCGCACCGGCCCC